GAGCGUUGGGCUCCGCUGCGCUGCGCUGAGCUCCCGGUCCGCCUCAGUCUCGGGGAGCGAGUCAGGCCUGCCGCCGCCGCAUCGGGCUGCCGCAGCCCCGGGCCAGGCCCCGGCCGGGCAGAAGCACAGAUCUGGCCAGGCAGCUUGUUGCCAUCCCCAGAGGAACCAUUCUUCAUGCAGUUGCCGAAGCCAUAAAUUUGAAGACCUUUGAUGCUUCUCCUGCACCCUCCAAUUGGCAUCUGUUAUGCACCUU